CAGGAGGUGAGGAUGGAGCUGGAUCAGAAACUACCCCAGUGGUAGAGCCUACUAAGCUGGUGCUCCCGAUGAAAGUCAACCCAUAUUCUGUCAUCGACAUCACACCAUUCCAGGAGGACCAGCCGCCCACCCCCGUGCCCAGCGCUGAGGAGGAGAAUGUGGGUCUCCAUGUGCCCUGCGGGUACUUGGUGCCUGUACCCUGCGGCUAUGCGGUGCCCUCCAACCUGCCCCUCCUGCUGCCCGCCUACUCCAGCCCGGUCAUCAUCCGCGCCACGUCCCUGGACGAAGAAGCAGAAACGGCAGAAGUCACAGAAGUUCGCCAGCCCAAUUCUCUGAGUUCCGAGGAGCCUCCAACCAGUGAAGAUCACGUCGGUCGAGAGGACAGCGCACUUGCCCGCUGGGCCGCAGACCCGGCCAACACAGCCUGGAUGGAGAAUCCAGAAGAAGCAAUUUACGAUGACGUUCCAAGGGAAAACUCAGACUCUGAACCAGAUGAAAUGAUUUAUGAUGAUGUUGAGAAUGGGGAUGAAGGUGGAAACAGCUCCUUGGAAUACGGAUGGAGUUCGAGUGAAUUUGAAAGUUACGAAGAGCAGAGUGACUCGGAGUGCAAGAAUGGGAUUCCCAGGUCCUUCCUGCGCAGCAACCACAAAAAGCAAAUGCAGAAGCUCGUGAAGGCCGCGAAGGACGGCACCAAGGACGGGCUGGAGAGGACCAGGGCAGCCGUGAAGAGGGGCCGCUCCUUCAUCAGGACCAAGUCUCUCAUCGCACAGGAUCACAGAUCUUCUCUUGAGGAAGAACAGAAUCUGUUCAUUGAUGUUGACUGCAAGCACCCGGAAGCCAUCUUGACCCCGAUGCCCGAGGGUUUAUCUCAGCAGCAGGUUGUAAGAAGAUAUAUACUGGGUUCAGUUGUCGACAGUGAAAAGAACUACGUAGAUGCUCUUAAGAGGAUUUUGGAGCAAUAUGAGAAGCCGCUGUCUGAGAUGGAGCCAAAGGUUCUGAGUGAGAGGAAGCUGAAGACGGUGUUCUACCGAGUCAAAGAGAUCCUGCAGUGCCACUCGCUGUUUCAGAUCGCGCUGGCCAGCCGCGUUUCCGAGUGGGACUCCGUGGAAAUGAUAGGCGAUGUCUUCGUGGCUUCGUUUUCUAAGUCCAUGGUGCUGGAUGCAUACAGUGAAUAUGUGAACAAUUUCAGCACAGCCGUGGCAGUCCUCAAGAAAACAUGUGCCACAAAGCCCGCUUUUCUUGAAUUUUUAAAGCAGGAACAGGAGGCCAGCCCCGAUCGAACGACGCUCUACAGCCUGAUGAUGAAGCCCAUCCAGAGGUUCCCACAGUUCAUCCUCCUGCUCCAGGACAUGCUGAAGAACACCUCCAAAGGCCACCCCGACAGGCUGCCUCUUCAGAUGGCCCUGACAGAGCUUGAAACACUAGCAGAGAAGUUAAAUGAAAGGAAGAGAGAUGCUGAUCAACGCUGUGAAGUGAAGCAAAUAGCCAAAGCCAUAAACGAAAGAUACCUGAACAAGGUUGAGAGAGGUUUUCUUCAACUCUAUUCCAAAAUUAUUUUUGCUUUGUGCUAAUAAGCUGUCGUUGUCCAGCAAUACUAAUCUUUUGGAUCGUUUGGAGUAAUUCCCUUCGCCCAGAGUUCUUAACCGGGGUGGAUGGAGGCCUUCGGGAGAGUCACACCAAUGUGGAAAUUGUAUGUAAAACCUUAACAGCCUGUCUGCAUUUUCUUAGGAAAGAGAUUCAUACAUUCAUUAGACCCUCAAAUGGAUCCAGGACCUCCCAAGGGGUUAAGAGCAACUCCUUUAGCUUAAUUUUCCUUUCAAAAUAACUGUAUUUAAUUUCAGAUAGUAAUAGUUAAAGCUGAAAAUAUUUACAGGCUAGGCACAGUGGCUCACACCUGUAAGCCCAGCACUUUUGGAGGCUGAGGUGGGAAGAUCGCUGGAACCCAGGAGUUCGAGACCAGCCUGGGCGUGAUAGUGAGAACCCAUAUCUAAAAAAAGAAAAAAAAAUUUAGCUGGGUACAGUGGCAUGCACCUAUAUAGUCUGAGCUACGUGGGAGGCUGAGGCCAGAGGAUUGCUUGAGCCUGGGGGGUCCAGGCUGUGGUGAGCUGUUACUGAGCUGCUGCACUCUAGCCUGGGUGAUGGAGCAAAACCCUGUUUCAAAAAAAAAAAAAAAAAAA
rnacentral:sRNA from 1 species